rnacentral:lncRNA from 1 species
UCUCUCUCUCUCUCUCUCUCUCUCUCUCUCUCUCUGUCUCACACACACACACACACGAGCUUCUAACAGGUCAGACAGGUUUAUAACAGAUCAUAUUUUAGGAGUCUUAAUAACAGCUUUUGUAUAUGGAAAGGUGGUUGUUGGACUAAAUAUUUUAGGAAGCUUGAGUGAAAUUUAUAUUCGUACAUGGGAGGAGUGACAGCCUGUGUGUGUGUGUGUGUGUGUGUGUGUGUGUGUGUGUGAGUGUGUAGUAAUGUGAGUGUAAAUAUUAUAUUAUGUAUUUAUUUUAUAUAUUAAUAUUGUAGCAAAAUAUAAAUUAUAUGUACAUAUAAUUCAUCAUCAUUUAAAUGUGUAUUUUUAUUAUUUAUAUUUUUUUUUAUAUAUUUCUGUAAAUGUGUGUGUGGCCUCUGUGUGUGCUCUGAAGUGCCAGGAACAGCAUUAAUGAGCAUGUAUUCAGAAGAACAGCAGUCAGAGCCGGAGAAUGAGAAACAUUCAAACAUCUCACAUCAAGUGAUGGAGCAACAUCUGGAGCCCGAGCCUGAGGAUCCCCUCUGACUCACAGACGUCUCUCUCCGUUCUGCCUCCAGUUUCCUGUGAAGUCACAGCUGUGUGGGAAAAUGUCCAGUCAUCACUUCACUCACGGAAACACAGAGCUCGACGUGAAGCUGGAAGAUCCACAUCUGUCCCUCGAGAUGCUCCAGAACAUGUGAGAGUGAAGAUACACACACAACAACCACACAGUGACAUUAUAAGAGUUUUCAUUCCUGUGACACACACACACACACACACACACACACACACACACACACACACACACACACACAAUCUCCAGUUGUUGUUGGUAAUCAAAUAUCUCACAGCCAGUUGUUUCAGUCUCUCUCUCUCUAUCUCUCUGUGUGUGUGUGUGUGUGUGUGUGUGUGUACACAAUGGAUAUUCACUAUGUUAUGAGGAGCAAAGGACAUUUGUUGGUUUUCCUGAGGAAACAAGCUUAAAAAAUCAGACAGAAGUGUUUUUAGAAUCUGAAAAUGGCUGUAGUUUUGUGUGAGGGGUAGGUUUAGGGGUAAGGGGAUAGAAAAUACAGUUUGUACAGUAGAAAAAAAAACAUUAUGCAUAUGGAAUAACCCCCAAAAAACAUGGAAACAUAAAGUGUGUAUGCCACAAUAUCACAGUUAUUCUAGUUAUUUAUUAUUAGUAAAACUGGUUUGAGACACCAGUGGCAUCAGACAAAUACACUGAUAGAGACUCUGUUCAUUCAGCAUCAUGUGACUCAAACUGAUUUAAUGGCAUUGCAUUAUAAACACAUAGACAUUAAUAUGGAGUUGGUCGCCCCUUUGCACCUAUAACAGCUUCACUCUUCUGGAAACGCUUUCCAUGAGAUUUUGCUGUAUUUUGCUUCAUGCUGGAAUAGAAACAAAAGGCUCUUCCCCGAACUGAUCCCACAAAGUUGGAAGCAUAGCAUUGUCCAGAACGUCUUGAUUUCCCUUCAUCAGCCCAGUCUCUGAAAACAGCCCCACCAUCAUCCCUCCUUCACCAAACUCUACAGUCGACAGUCAGACAUGAUGUUCUCCUGAUUUCAUCAAACCCAGACACACUCAUCAGACUGCAGUGUGCUUGAUCUCCUCAGAACAGGUUUCUGCUGCUCCAGAGUCCAGUAUCUGUGUGCUUUACUCACUCCAUCCCACGCUGGUCACUGUACUGCGGAUGUGAGGCUUUAAACCCAUUCAUGAAGCUCCUGCUGCUCAGUAUUUGUGCUGAUAUUAAAGCUAGAGGAGGUCUGGAAUCAGCAGAGCGCUGGCUUUUCCUCUUUAUGUGUCUCAUCACUCAGUGACUCUGUGUUUUACGUGGACUUUAUGAAUCACUGCGGUUCCCAAACGCUCCUGCUUUCCAGUAAUACCAGUUACAGUUGAGUGAGGAAAUCUACCACCCAUUUCUUUCACAAGUGUUUGUAAAUGCAGGCUGCAUGACUAGUGCUCGAGUUUAUAAAACUGUGGCAAUGGAUCUGAUCGAAACACCUGUUCAGUAAUGAAGAGGAGUAUCCCAGCAAUUUUCUCCAUAUAGUGAAGAUGGAGGUGGUUUGUUGGAUAGUUGGACUCUGUUCUCAUGUGAAUUGUUGGGUAGAUUUCAGGUCAUGUAUUUUUGGAUCGUCUGGCAGAUUGUUGGGUAGUUUAUCUGAUUAUCAAGUUCAACAUUUCAAAAGGUAUAAAUGACUCUUAAAUGAAGUUCAACUAUUUUAAAAUGUACAUUUGUAAAUAAAG